UGGGGAAUAUUGGACAAUGGGCGAAAGCCUGAUCCAGCCAUGCCGCGUGUGUGAAGAAGGUCUUCGGAUUGUAAAGCACUUUAAGUUGGGAGGAAGGGCAGUAAGCGAAUACCUUGCUGUUUUGACGUUACCGACAGAAUAAGCACCGGCUAACUCUGUGCCAGCAGCCGCGGUAAUACAGAGGGUGCAAGCGUUAAUCGGAAUUACUGGGCGUAAAGCGCGCGUAGGUGGUUCGUUAAGUUGAAUGUGAAAGACCCGGGCUCAACCUGGGAACUGCAUCCAAAACUGGCGAGCUAGAGUAGGGCAGAGGGUGGUGGAAUUUCCUGUGUAGCGGUGAAAUGCGUAGAUAUAGGAAGGAACACCAGUGGCGAAGGCGACCACCUGGGCUCAUACUGACACUGAGGUGCGAAAGCGUGGGGAGCAAACAGG
rnacentral:rRNA from 1 species